rnacentral:rRNA from 1 species
UAAGGAAUAUUGGUCAAUGGACGCAAGUCUGAACCAGCCAUGCCGCGUGAAGGAUGAAGGUCCUCUGGAUUGUAAACUUCUUUUAUCUGGGACGAAAACGGGAUUUUUAUCUCAAUUGACGGUACCAGAGGAAUAAGCACCGGCUAACUCCGUGCCAGCAGCCGCGGUAAUACGGAGGGUGCGAGCGUUAAUCGGAAUUACUGGGCGCAAAGGGUGCGCAGGCGGUCUUGCAAGUCAGAUGUGAAAGCCCCGGGCUUAACCUGGGAAUUGCGUUUGAAACUACAAGACUAGAGUGCAGCAGAGGGGAGUGGAAUUCCAUGUGUAGCAGUGAAAUGCGUAGAGAUGUGGAAGAACACCGAUGGCGAAGGCAGCUCCCUGGGUUGACACUGACGCUCAUGCACGAAAGCGUGGGGAGCAAACA